AAAGUUUUCAUGCAAUUAUAAUUAAUGAUAUCUCUUAUGAGCAGUUGUUAUUACAAGCAGGUAGAUGGUCCACCUUCAAGAAAAAUACAUGACAACAACUAUAUAUUUAACAAGAACUUCUUAAUUAUAACGAUGGAAAAAGAAAAAAAUAGCCAAAAGGAAAAAAUAAAUUAUUGUAGUAAUAAUUAGUUGAUCAGUCCAAUGAAUAGAUAAUUUCUUUGAAGGUGGCCAAAUUGUCCUGGAAAAGAGGUAUGAAGGCGUCUAUACUUCCAUCCCCAAUGAACGAAGGUAGAAGAAACAUCAUUCCUUCUGUUGGAAAAUAAGAUGGCAUAAAUAUAUAAGGACUUCCUCCUCCAAAAUCCAGAUCAUAAAAUGGAAACCUUAGCCAACUAUCAACCUCCAAAUUAGGGCACAACACCGACUUGCUCAUCUCCGCCGUGGGCACCAGGUCUUCUUCCUUCCCAGCCUUGUGGGUAGCGAAGUCGAUGAAUGAUUUGAAGUAGCUGUUAUUUACCUUUGCAAUAGCUUCAUGAAUGAGCUUGGCCGCAUAAGGUAAUGGCUCUCGUAGUAGGUCUUUAACCCUCGCACUUGGGAAUGCCCAUAGCACCAAGUUCCCAAAGUAUUCAUUGGGAACUCUUGGAUUCAUUCGCAUGCGUCCAUUCACUGAGAUUCUCACAUGUGUUUUUUCGAACCCACCGAGCCCUCGAGCCUUUGUUAUGGCUCUCCAUAGAUGAGCAACCAAGCUCUCGAAAGUGCUAUAAGUCUUGUUCUGCAGAUUAUUUGAUGGUGGAGAGGCUCUAGCCUUGAGCUUGGAGAGAAAUUCCAAUGUGAAAUGGACUUUAUGGACUAUAAUGUCAUCCACAAAGUUAUCAAUAUAUAUAUUUGGAAAAUCUUUGACAAGCUUCUUGCUUUUAAACUCAACUCCUCUGUGUUCAAACUCGAAAUGAGGAGGUUUUCGAGGGCUGAAAAUGGUUCGAUCACAAAGAGGAAGUGGGUUCAUGUCAAGUCCACGACUAGCUUUCCCCCAUGAAACCAAGAAAUUGCUGGUGGAAUGCCCAUCAGCUACCAAGUGAUGGGCUGUGAAGCCAACUACUAAUGAGCCACAACUGAACCUUGUGAGCUGAACUUGCACGAGCUCUUCCACAUCCUUCAAGCUAGGAUGAAGGCUAAGCAAAACAGGAGAUGGCUUCAAGGGCAUGAGUUGAUCAAGCUUGCAAUCCACAGAAGCUUCAACUAGUUUCACCCCUUUGUCAUUGAGAAAAAUGACAGGAUCACCUUUCUCAUCUUCCCCUAAUCUUCCAGCCCAUUCCCUGUAUUCUGAUAAGGCCCUCUGGAGGCCAAGCUCAAUGGUUGCAUUCAUUGGUGUUGGUGGACGAUAGGCAUAAAUGACUGCUAUGUGGGUGUUGUAGGUGACCUUAUCAAACACACUCAGAGGGAUACAGUGUGAGGUAGGGGGAGGACAAUUCCUUUCAUAAAUUGGCUUAACAGUUCUUGUACUCUCUAGUCUCACCUUCAUGGUUUUUGGUAUUUGGGUAAUUUUCUUUUUUGGAUAAGGCUAUAUUGGCUAGCUAAUUCCAAGAGAGAAAACAAGGUUUAUUUUGAGCUGCCCAUUCCCUGUAUUCUGAUAA
rnacentral:misc_RNA from 1 species